UUGGACGGCCAUAGUGGCGUGGAACUACCCGAUCCCUUUUCGAACUCGGAUUGGACAAGGACUUGGUCCACGAGAGAGUCAAGCACGCAUACGUUUUAAGCUGUACUGCACUUACGUGCGGGAACCUUGAAUCGCUGUCCACC
rnacentral:rRNA from 1 species